AAAGUUGGAUGAUUGUUUGGAUCCAAGUGGAUUACAGACUCAAUCCAAGCCAUCCAACUGGCAACUUGUCCAAGCCAAGCCUAAAUGCUCCUAAUGUCAACAAGAAGCACUGCGAAGGCGAAGAUAAUGCGAAAUUGUCGGUUUGUGAAUUGAGGAAACGUAUUUUUCGAAGUUCUUGAUCUACAAUAUGCUGCACAGUUUUGUGAAAUUGGUGAUUUGUUGCUUCCGGGCUUCAAGCCUUGUUUACGUCGUCGCGUUUGUUGGAGUAGUGUUGUCGGUGCUGUGGCCUUUACAUUUGCGUCCCAUUUACCACUUCUACCAUGAACGAUGACCUGCGUUCGUUUUUGUGAAUUCGUUUCAAGUUUAGCGAAGUGAAGUACGCAGCAUAUGGAUCAUCGUGCUAGUUGCAUCAUGCAAUUGAACUAUUAACAGAUGUCGUAGAGCGUGAAGAAAAACAAUGUGCAAGUUUCCGGCGAUGCAGAUGCAUCAAGUUGUUUUCAUCGAAUGAACUGCGCAUGUUGGACAACAAAUUAAGGAUUGUUUGGCGUAAUUUGUUCUUAUUGACGGCACCUGCCACAGAUGUGCUUGGCGUGUCUGCCGACUGGUAGUUCUGUCAAGGUUGCACAGCGACAACCAUCUGCUAUUGUUUAAGCGAUGGGCCCUUAGGUACGACCUAACGAGAGUGUAAUUAGAGAGGAUGUCAAUUUUCAUAAUUCUUAGCUUCUCAAAUAGGGGCUCAGCGUGUGUGUAAACGGAGACACCAUCUAUAAUCCUAACGGCUCUCUUUUGUAAUAUGAGUAUGUUUUUUUUAAGUUUACCAAACCAGUAGAACACCACACGAGGUUACAGUAACAGAGAAGGGACUGAAUAAGGGACUGAUAUAUGAAAAGUUUCACCUGUACAGGGAAAAGAAGUAGAUUCCUAGACAAGAUACCGCAAACUUUUGAAAUUUUGCUACAAACUAGGUCAACCUGCUUAGUCCAGGAUAGGUCAGCAGAGAGAACAACACCCAAGAGUCCACAACAUCUAUUUGCUGAUUUCCCAGUAAUACAUCUACCGUGCAGUGCAUGGGCUUGUUUUUUGCUUUAUAUAAUACCGCUUUUGAUAUAUCAUCGUAUCUCUAUUUGUAUGUGUGUGUGUGUGUGCGUGUUGAUAUAUCGGUAUUUAUUAGAAGACGAUUGCUUACUGUCCACUCAUUUAGAGCACAGAGAGCAACAUUUGCACUACCCACUACCGUAGCUAAAUUCGUCCCUGAAAAAUAUCGUUGUAUCAUCGGCGUAGAUGUAGAAAUCUCCGACCCUAGUGGAAUUUACGAUAUCAUUAAUAUGUAUAUUGAAUAGCAGCGGUCCUAGGAUGCUGCCCCGUGGGACACCUGAGGCUACUUUACGGGCGGUAGAAGAAUGGUAGCCCAUCGAAACAUACUGAGUGCGAUUUGACAAGUAUGACGAUAACAAAGAAAGAAUGACACCGCGAAAUCCAUAGUAUUGUAGUUUUAGCAACAGUAAAGAAUGAUCAAUGAAAUCAAAAGUUUUGGGAAAAUAUAAAUAAACCCCUAGUGUAUACAACACUUCUUCAAAGUUAUGAAUUAAUAGCUCUUUUUGCGCAAGCAAGGCAAGUUCCGUAGAGCAGAACUUCCUGAAACCAAAUUGAUGAUCAUUGAUAACAGAAUGCUUCGUGAAAAACUUUUCGAGGCGACUAUGCAACAAUGCUUCGAGGCCUUUUGAAAAAACUGGUAAAAUGGAUAUCGGCCUGUAGUUCUUGAAUUGGUUUGUGUCUCCUCCCUUACUCAGGACUGCGAUUUUUGCCCAUUGCAUCUCAGCGGGAAAAAUUCCGGUUAUGAAAGUAAGAUUGUACAGGUUGGGACAAAAGUUUACGGAACACGCACUCUCAGAAACGAAACGGAUAAAUUUACGCUUACGUCCAAUCUUACCCUUACUAAGCGUAAAGUUAGACAAAAUCGCAGACGCCGUAUCCGUCAAGCUCUGUUUCAUUCCUAGUACCCGUAAACGCGCUCGCUGUAAGCGUAAAGGGCGGAGUUUUAUGCGUAAAUGGGACGGAGGACAUGAUUUACUCUUAUAUCCUGACGCAUACGAUUUCGUGUUGACGGAUAAACUGAAGUUCUUCGUUGGAGUAUUAGCUCUUUACGCCUAUAUUGACGCAUAUUGUUUUUCAAUUGUUAUACGGGCCCUGCCUUCUGAGAACACGUGCAUGGUUCCCUGUGGAAAGCGUCUUUUCUUUCGCUUCGUUAACGGUCACUCUGGCUUCUGGCGUCUCAUUACCCAUUUACGCCUAUAUUGACGCUUAUUGUUUUUCAAUUGUUAUACGGGCCCUGCCUUCUGAGAACACGUGCAUGGUUCCGUGUGCAAAGCGUCUUUUCGUUCGCUUCGUUAACGGUCACUCUGGCUUCUGGCGUGUCACGGUCUCACAUCAUGCACGAUCUAGCAAAUGAAGAGAUGGCAUCGAACGAGACAACGUCGCACGAUAUGUGGGCAAGGCACGCGGACGACGCUGUUUGAACAGUUGUGAUUCUCCACGCUAUUUCCGCGCUACAAAUUCGUAUGCGUACGCCCAUUGUCCACCAGCAUCCCAAGGAACAGGACACGACAUGCUCUUCGUAGCCAUGCUGGACUGCAUAAUACCACGCAUGCACCCUCAGCUGCAUUAGGUGGUGCUCCUAAAAUUUCAACUGUGCGACACAUUCUGGGAAGAAAUACACAAGACUACUCCCACACGCAUGUACAACCAGUACAACUCAGCUGUAAAGAUGACUUGUAAGUUGUGACUGCUUCAUGAGUAAUGAAUGCAUUGCUCGAUAAAUGCAACGUCUGCAAUACACUGAACUAUAGGGUGUUCAAAAUUAAGCUUUCACGAGCGCUAUGCAAAAACAGCGAUGACAGGAAACCGGGUGAUAAGUUUACGCUACUUGUGUAAGAAACAGCUGCUCCAAAUUAAGUAGCACCUGUUUCUUACUCAAGGAACAGAAAAAUAGCUGCCAGUUUUCUUUUGUUCGCCUAUUUAUAAAGUGCUAGUGAAAGCUUAAUUUUGAACACCUUGUAUACUUCAGUUAUUACACGCUGAUUUCACGCCGGAUCAUGCAGGGUGGUGAAUUUUUUUUCUUUCAAACAUAUAUUCAAACCUCGUCCUUAGGAGGCA